UACGUAGGGGGCAAGCGUUGUCCGGAUUUAUUGGGCGUAAAGAGCUCGUAGGUGGUUCGGUAAGUCGGGUGUGAAAUCUCGGGGCUUAACUCCGAAACUGCAUUCGAUACUGCCGUGCUUGAGGACUGGAGAGGAGACUGGAAUUUACGGUGUAGCGGUGAAAUGCGCAGAUAUCGGGAGGAACACCCGUAGCGAAGGCGGCACUCUGGGCCGGUACUGACGCUGAGGAGCGAAAGCGUGGGGAGCAAACAGG
rnacentral:rRNA from 1 species